UAUAAUCUGAGAGAAAUCUGAAACAGAGAAACAGAGAAAACCCUUCAGUUUCGGUAUCUGAUAUAGUGAUGGUGGUUUAUCCAAUGUAAAACCACACAGUCUCUCUUCAUUUACCACUGAACGGACAGCCACUGUUAUAACAGACACAAACCAGGAAGUACAUGUUACAGGAAGUAAAACUCAUCCGCUGAGCCCCGUUACUGAAGGGAUAGGAUACUACUGUCUGCAAAGACACCAUGCUAGUUUCUGCACCACCAAGGAGGCUGAUUGGCUGAUUACAGCACCACCAAGGAAGCUGAUUGGCUGAUUAAAGUACCAUCAAGGAGGCUGAUUGGCUGAUUAAAGUAUCAUCAAAGAGGCUGAUUGGCUGAUUAAAGUACCAUCAAGGAGGCUGAUUGGCUGAUUACAGUACCACCAAGGAGUCUGAUUGGCUAUCUGUGCUGAGCUCACACCUUGUAAAUCUGCCCACCUGACCUGACUCUACAUAAUGGGAAGUUUCGAUUUCUUCUGCUUUCUUUUUGGUUUCAAUUUUAAUAAAAAAUACAAAAGGUAAAUAA